GGGAUGUGCCACCACGCCCCAGUAAUUUUUAUAUUUUUAGUGGAGGAGGGGUUUUGCUACGUUGGCCAGGCUGGUCUCAGGUGUUCCUCAGGUGUUCCUUCUGCCUUCGGGAUUACAGGUCCUGAAAGGAUAUUCCCUCAAGGCUCUGAGCUAGAGACCACAGGACCCUGCAUGUGAUGGAUCAGCUGACAUCAUCCAGUUCGGUAAACUGGUUCAUCUGAUCUUGUGCCCUGCACCCAGGAACUGACUCAGCGCAAGA